rnacentral:rRNA from 1 species
CGCGGCCUAUCAGCUUGUUGGUGAGGUAACGGCUCACCAAGGCAUCGACGGGUAGCUGGUCUGAGAGGAUGAUCAGCCACACUGGGACUGAGACACGGCCCAGACUCCUACGGGAGGCAGCAGUGGGGAAUAUUGCACAAUGGGCGCAAGCCUGAUGCAGCAACGCCGCGUGCGGGAUGAAGGCCCUAGGGUUGUAAACCGCUUUCAGCAGGGAAGAAAAUGACGGUACCUGCAGAAGAAGGUGCGGCCAACUACGUGCCAGCAGCCGCGGUGACACGUAGGCACCAAGCGUUGUCCGGAUUUAUUGGGCGUAAAGAGCUCGUAGGCGGUUCAGUAAGUCGGGUGUGAAAACUCUGGGCUCAACCCAGAGACGCCACCCGAUACUGCUGUGACUUGAGUACGGUAGGGGAGCGGGGAAUUCCUGGUGUAGCGGUGAAAUGCGCAGAUAUCAGGAGGAACACCAGUGGCGAAGGCGCCGCUCUGGGCCGUAACUGACGCUGAGGAGCGAAAGCGUGGGUAGCAAACAGGAUUAGAUACCCUGGUAGUCCACGCCGUAAACGUUGGGCACUAGGUGUGGGUCUCAACCAACGAGAUCCGCGCCGUCGCUAACGCAUUAAGUGCCCCGCCUGGGGAGUACGG